GUAUAAAAGCAUUUUACUCGAAUCCACAUGGCAAUUUGUAAGCAAGGUAAUUAGCAUGCAUAUCAUUACAUCUAAACCCAAAGUGUCCACUAGUAUUUAGCAUCCCUCGCCACAAAAGUGACGAGACCGUAUAGUAUAUUGACUUAACAAACCCCCGUCGGGUGGUGUGCUACUCCUAUAGCGCUAUAAUUGUUAAGCGAGGGUAUAACAUAGUAAUGGCAUAAAGCAUGUAUUAUCUAGCAUAACAAGUAGCAUGUAUAUCGGAUUGAGUUCACAAAGUAUGUUUAAGUGUGUCAUCCCUCGCCACAAAAGUGACGAGACCGUAUAGUAUAUUGACUUAACAAACCCCCGUCGGGUGGUGUGCUACUCCUAUAGCGCUAUAAUUGUUAAGCGAGGGUAUAACAUAGUAAUGGCAUAAAGCAUGUAUUAUCUAGCAUAACAAGUAGCAUGUAUAUCGGAUUGAGUUCACAAAGUAUGUUUAAGUGUGUGUAAGUGUAAUUUUUAUAUGGUAACAUGUUA
rnacentral:lncRNA from 1 species